UUCGCCCUUAGAGUUUGAUCCUGGCUCAGGACGAACGCUGGCGGCGCGCCUAACACAUGCAAGUCGAACGGAGCUUAAAGAGCUUGCUUUUUAAGCUUAGUGGCGAACGGGUGAGUAACGCGUGAGUAACCUGCCCUGGAGUGGGGGACAACAGUUGGAAACGACUGCUAAUACCGCAUAAGCCCACGGGUCGGCAUCGACCAGAGGGAAAAGGAGCAAUCCGCCUUGAGAUGGCCUCGCGUCCGAUUAGCUAGUUGGUGAGGUAACGGCCCACCAAGGCGACGAUCGGUAGCCGGACUGAGAGGUUGAACGGCCACAUUGGGACUGAGACACGGCCCAGACUCCUACGGGAGGCAGCAGUGGGGAAUAUUGCACAAUGGGGGAAACCCUGAUGCAGCGACGCCGCGUGGAGGAAGAAGGUCUUCGGAUUGUAAACUCCUGUUGUUGAGGAAGAUAAUGACGGUACUCAACAAGGAAGUGACGGCUAACUACGUGCCAGCAGCCGCGGUAAAACGUAGGUCACAAGCGUUGUCCGGAAUUACUGGGUGUAAAGGGAGCGCAGGCGGGAAGACAAGUUGGAAGUGAAAUCCAUGGGCUCAACCCAUGAACUGCUUUCAAAACUGUUUUUCUUGAGUAGUGCAGAGGUAGGCGGAAUUCCCGGUGUAGCGGUGGAAUGCGUAGAUAUCGGGAGGAACACCAGUGGCGAAGGCGGCCUACUGGGCACCAACUGACGCUGAGGCUCGAAAGUGUGGGUAGCAAACAGGAUUAGAUACCCUGGUAGUCCACACCGUAAACGAUGAUUACUAGGUGUUGGAGGAUUGACCCCUUCAGUGCCGCAGUUAACACAAUAAGUAAUCCACCUGGGGAGUACGACCGCAAGGUUGAAACUCAAAGGAAUUGACGGGGGCCCGCACAAGCAGUGGAGUAUGUGGUUUAAUUCGACGCAACGCGAAGAACCUUACCAAGUCUUGACAUCCCUUGACGAUGCUGGAAACAGUAUUUCUCUUCGGAGCAAGGAGACAGGUGGUGCAUGGUUGUCGUCAGCUCGUGUCGUGAGAUGUUGGGUUAAGUCCCGCAACGAGCGCAACCCUUAUGGUCAGUUACUACGCAAGAGGACUCUGGCCAGACUGCCGUUGACAAAACGGAGGAAGGUGGGGAUGACGUCAAAUCAUCAUGCCCUUUAUGACUUGGGCUACACACGUACUACAAUGGCGUUAAACAAAGAGAAGCAAGACCGCGAGGUGGAGCAAAACUCAGAAACAACGUCCCAGUUCGGACUGCAGGCUGCAACUCGCCUGCACGAAGUCGGAAUUGCUAGUAAUCGUGGAUCAGCAUGCCACGGUGAAUACGUUCCCGGGCCUUGCACACACCGCCCGUCA
rnacentral:rRNA from 1 species